rnacentral:rRNA from 1 species
GACGAACGCUGGUUUGCGUGCUUAACACAUGCAAGUCGAACGGAAAGGCCCUGCUUUUGUGGGGUGCUCGAGUGGCGAACGGGUGAGUAACACGUGAGUAACCUGCCCUUGACUUUGGGAUAACUUCAGGAAACUGGGGCUAAUACCGGAUAGGAGCUCCUGCUGCAUGGUGGGGGUUGGAAAGUUUCGGCGGUUGGGGAUGGACUCGCGGCUUAUCAGCUUGUUGGUGGGGUAGUGGCUUACCAAGGCUUUGACGGGUAGCCGGCCUGAGAGGGUGACCGGCCACAUUGGGACUGAGAUACGGCCCAGACUCCUACGGGAGGCAGCAGUGGGGAAUAUUGCACAAUGGGCGGAAGCCUGAUGCAGCAACGCCGCGUGCGGGAUGACGGCCUUCGGGUUGUAAACCGCUUUCGCCUGUGACGAAGCGUGAGUGACGGUAAUGGGUAAAGAAGCACCGGCUAACUACGUGCCAGCAGCCGCGGUGAUACGUAGGGUGCGAGCGUUGUCCGGAUUUAUUGGGCGUAAAGGGCUCGUAGGUGGUUGAUCGCGUCGGAAGUGUAAUCUUGGGGCUUAACCCUGAGCGUGCUUUCGAUACGGGUUGACUUGAGGAAGGUAGGGGAGAAUGGAAUUCCUGGUGGAGCGGUGGAAUGCGCAGAUAUCAGGAGGAACACCAGUGGCGAAGGCGGUUCUCUGGGCCUUUCCUGACGCUGAGGAGCUAAAGCGUGGGGAGCGAACAGGCUUAGAUACCCUGGUAGUCCACGCUGUAAACGGUGGGUACUAGGUGUGGGGUCCAUUCCACGGGUUCCGUGCCGUAGCUAACGCUUUAAGUACCCCGCCUGGGGAGUACGGCCGCAAGGCUAAAACUCAAAGGAAUUGACGGGGCCCCGCACAAGCGGCGGAGCAUGCGGAUUAAUUCGAUGCAACGCGUAGAACCUUACCUGGGUUUGACAUGGAUCGGGAGUGCUCAGAGAUGGGUGUGCCUCUUUUGGGGUCGGUUCACAGGUGGUGCAUGGCUGUCGUCAGCUCGUGUCGUGAGAUGUUGGGUUAAGUCCCGCAACGAGCGCAACCCUUGUUCACUGUUGCCAGCACGUUAUGGUGGGGACUCAGUGGAGACCGCCGGGGUCAACUCGGAGGAAGGUGGGGAUGACGUCAAGUCAUCAUGCCCCUUACGUCCAGGGCUUCACGCAUGCUACAAUGGCUGGUACAGAGAGUGGCGAGCCUGUGAGGGUGAGCGAAUCUCGGAAAGCCGGUCUCAGUUCGGAUUGGGGUCUGCAACUCGACCUCAUGAAGUCGGAGUCGCUAGUAAUCGCAGAUCAGCAACGCUGCGGUGAAUACGUUCCCGGG